GUAAAUAGCUCAGCUUGUAGAGUGCUUCUCUUCUAAGCAUGGGGCCCUGGGAUCAAUUCCCAGUACA
rnacentral:tRNA from 1 species